rnacentral:tRNA from 1 species
GUCUAUAUAAUUUAAACAAAAUAUUGGUCUUGUAAGCCAAAUUUAGGCUCCUCCCCUUUUAGACU